rnacentral:rRNA from 1 species
AUGCGGGUCGGGCGGCGGUCAGAUCUGCCACAACCAGAACCGGUGUCCUCUUCCUCCCUAUCCAGCUUCCUCCCAUGGUUAAGAAGAGGGCUUCGUCAAGGAUCCCAUGAUGAAGGUCAACGUGGGAGGCUGCUUCCUUCGAUGGAGGCCAUGAGUGCCACGUGGGCACACACAUGGCUGCGCUUCAAGCUCGACAGAUGCAGGGACGCCACCAUGGAACAGUCAGGGCCUCCCUUUUCCUCCCGUUUCGUCCGAUCCUCCACUGCCAGCCAUUUCCGGCACCCCUGCACCACGGCGGCGAAGGGCACAAUGAUGAAUUGA